rnacentral:rRNA from 1 species
AGCGAACGCUGGCGGCAGGCUUAACACAUGCAAGUCGAACGCCAUCUUCGGAUGGAGUGGCAGACGGGUGAGUAACGCGUGGGAACGUACCCUUUGGUUCGGAAUAUUCUCGGGAAACUGAGAGCAAUACCGGAUAAGCCCUACGGGGGAAAGAUUUAUCGCCAAAGGAGCGGCCCGCGUCAGAUUAGGUAGUUGGUGGGGUAAAGGCCUACCAAGCCUACGAUCUGUAGCUGGUCUGAGAGGAUGAUCAGCCACACUGGGACUGAGACACGGCCCAGACUCCUACGGGAGGCAGCAGUGGGGAAUCUUGGACAAUGGGCGCAAGCCUGAUCCAGCCAUGCCGCGUGGAUGAUGAAGGCCUUCGGGUCGUAAAGCUCUUUACCAGGGAUGAUAAUGACAGUACCUGGAGAAUAAGCUCCGGCGUAACUCCGUG